GAUGAACGCUGGCGGCGUGCCUAAUACAUGCAAGUCGAGCGAACGGACGAGAAGCUUGCUUCUCUGAUGUUAGCGGCGGACGGGUGAGUAACACGUGGAUAACCUACCUAUAGGACUGGGAUAACUUCGGGAAACCGGAGCUAAUACCGGAUGAUAUUUUGAACCGCAUGGUUCAAAAGUGAAAGACGGUCUUGCUGUCACUUAUAGAUGGAUCCGCGCUGCAUUAGCUAGUUGGUAAGGUAACGGCUUACCAAGGCAACGAUGCAUAGCCGACCUGAGAGGGUGAUCGGCCACACUGGAACUGAGACACGGUCCAGACUCCUACGGGAGGCAGCAGUAGGGAAUCUUCCGCAAUGGGCGAAAGCCUGACGGAGCAACGCCGCGUGAGUGAUGAAGGUCUUCGGAUCGUAAAACUCUGUUAUUAGGGAAGAACAUAUGUGUAAGUAACUGUGCACAUCCUGACGGUACCUAAUCAGAAAGCCACGGCUAACUACGUG
rnacentral:rRNA from 1 species